UACGUAGGUGACAAGCGUUGUCCGGAUUUACUGGGCGUAAAGAGCGCGCAGGCGGUCGAUCAAGUCGAGUGUGAAAGCCCCCGGCUCAACUGGGGAGGGUCAUUCGAUACUGAUCGACUCGAAGGCAGGAGAGGGUAGUGGAAUUCCCGGUGUAGUGGUGAAAUGCGUAGAUAUCGGGAGGAACACCAGUGGCGAAGGCGACUACCUGGCCUGUUCUUGACGCUGAGGCGCGAAAGCUAGGGGAGCAAACAGGGAUUAGAAC
rnacentral:rRNA from 1 species